CGGUGGAGCCUGCGGUUUAAUUGGAUCAACGCCGGAAAUCUCACCGGGGCGACAGCAAUAUGAAGGUCAGGCUGAAGACCUUACCCGAUUAGCUGAGAGGUGGUGCAUGGCCGUCGUCAGUUCGUACUGUGAAGCAUCCUGUUAAGUCAGGCAACGAGCGAGACCCACGUCCACAGUUGCCAGCAUACCCUCCGGGGUGAUGGGUACACUGUGGAGACCGCCGCUGCUAAAGCGGAGGAAGGAGUGGGCAACGGUAGGUCAGUAUGCCCCGAAUCUCCCGGGCUACACGCGGGCUACAAUGGUUGGUACAAUGGGCAUCUACCCCGAAAGGGGAAGGAAAUCUCUUAAAGCCAAUCGUAGUUCGGAUUGAGGGCUGCAACUCGCCCUCAUGAAGCUGGAAUCCGUAGUAAUCGCGUUUCAACAGAACGCGGUGAAUACGUCCCUGCUCCUU
rnacentral:rRNA from 1 species